CGACAGCCCAUUAAGUGUCGGGGGUCAAAAAAUCGCUUCAGGCUGCAACUUUACCUUAGAGACGUUUUGGUCCCCAGGCAGCCGCCGUACCCCAGUCUCUCCAAACCGGGAUUCCCCUUUGGCCAUCUCUCAUUCUUUCAAUUCUAAAGAUGGAGACUGGCGAACGGCGAUGGGGUCUGCGGUGGGCGGUGUUUCGUCGCGACAGACUCUAGGAAAUUUCACGAUAGAACUAGCUUUAGGCGCUUGAGCCUUGCCGUCUUUUUGGGGUGUGGCCUGUCUCCGUCUGCCAAAGGCUUUGAGCUUCCUGGUGUUCAUCGUACCUCCGCUUGGUCCUGUCGUGACUAAACCACGACAGCAGGAAAAAAAAAAAAGCAGCUAGCCAAGUUGCUGAGGAAUUACGGUGUGCAGAGCCCUCGCAGCUCCUUCUCUUGGGAACUCCUGGUCUGGUUAGGUUCUCAGCGAGGAAACAGCCUCCCACCCCGCCCGAUUCCACCUAAUUAACUCAAGGGCCAGCUCCUUUUGCUGGCCUCCCUGCUUCCACGGAGCAGUUAGGCCCGCCUAAACUCAGCGAGCGUUUCUGGAGCACCUUGAGGAUAGGGACCAAGUAACAGAGUCCGGGUGUUAAGGUUAUGAUAGUAGUUAACGUUUUUGGAAAGAGACUGUGUCAGGCUCUGUGCUAAGAACUUUACAUGAAGUAUUUAUUCCUCAUGACUGUGAGGUAGGUACUGUUAUCCCUACUUUACAAAUGAGGAAAAUUAGGAUCAAAAAAUUUGUCCAGUUACACGUUAAGUGGUAGAGCUGAAAUUUGAACCCAAGUAGAUGAGGAAACUAAGGCUCAGAGAGGUUAAGUAACUUGCCAAAGGUCAGACCGCUAGUUAGUGACUAAGCAGUGGUUUAAACCCAGAAACAACUGGUUCCACAGGCAUUUUGUUAUUGUUGUUUUCUCACUGUGUCUCCCAGGCUGGAGUGCAGUGGUACAAUCUCAGUUCCUGCAACCUCCGCCUCCCAGGUUCAAACGAUCCUCCUGCCUCAACAGCCUCCCGAGUAGCUGGGAUUACAGGC
rnacentral:lncRNA from 1 species